UACAGAGGGGGCUAGCGUUGUUCGGAAUUACUGGGCGUAAAGGGCGCGUAGGCGGCCCGCUAAGUCGAACGUGAAAUCCCCGAGCUCAACUCGGGAACUGCGUCCGAUACUGGCGGGCUUGAAUCCGGGAGAGGGAUGCGGAAUUCCAGGUGUAGCGGUGAAAUGCGUAGAUAUCUGGAGGAACACCGGUGGCGAAGGCGGCAUCCUGGGUCGGUAUUGACGCUGAGGAGCGAAAGCCAGGGGAGCAAACGGG
rnacentral:rRNA from 1 species